UCAUUUUCAGUUUAACAAAUAAUAACAAUUGUCCUUUUAAAUUUGUAGUUAAAUCGCACAAAUUAAAACUUCUAAAAUGUUAAAAUGCCUAUACGGCUGUGCAAAAGGUUUCCAUAAUCCUUGUAUGUACAUACAAAGAUGAGGUUAGCUGAUUCUUGUUUCUGAAUUUAAUAAUGUAGUAUAUUAAUGUAGUAUAUUACUACCUUUAUUACUAACCGGAGCUAAAGGAUUAAAAAGUAAUAAAUAGGAUUAGUGGCCAACUAAUCACUGGAGAAAAACUCUUUCUCUACUUCUAGAGAAGGAAAAGCUGGUCAGUAAAGAUGUAAUUGUAUUCACCAAUUAAACUGGCUUUUUAUUUGCUCUCAAUUUUUGCUAUUUUGCACUAUAUCAAACUUUGCAAGAAAUAUACUGAAGAUUAAAAUAUUUUUACUUUAAACAAAACUUAGACAAACAUUUUUUCAAAUAUAUCUUAAAAUUUAGAUGAUAUACAUUAUUCAUUUUAUCCUUAAGAUAUGUAUCGAAUGCAUUAUAGUACGUCAAUUGUUAAUUACAAUUAUGUAAUAAUAUAGGAAAUAUUUCAAAUAAACAUUGAUAUUUAACAUUGUGAUGUGAUAAA